UGCUUGUGUGAUGCCUUUGUGAAGUCCUAUCUCUCAACAUAAAUACAACACCAAUCCUUUUCUCUCGAACCAUACUUUUCUCUUUCGUGAACCUUCCUUUGCGAGAAGCCAAACGAGUACUUCCUUAGCUCACUCAUUUCACUCUCAUAAAGCACAUCUUCUUCUUUCUUAUUUGAUUCGAGGAAACACAGAAGAAUUUUGAUUUGUUUCGUAAGAAAAAGGAAGGGAAAAGAUGUUUAAGAAGGCAGUAGAGGCAAAAUCGCAUCAGAGACUAUCCGGAGCUGACAGAAAGAAGCUUAAACGAACCGUUAAAGAUAGAUUUCCUCGCGCUUCUGACGCCGAUAUGGAUAAUUUACUCCCUCCCAAAGCUGAGAUAACUGUUUCAAAGUUUCAAAAUCGUGUCCAUGUAUUUGGUGUUGAAGGUGGCUUUCCUAUGUUUUUCGAUGUAGAUGGGCGAGGCAAUGAAAUUUUUCCCACAGUUUUUGCUCUCUGGAAGGUCCCUGAAUUGUUGCCUUCUUUUAUGCUUAAAGGCGGUGAGGUCUCUAGGUUUGUCAUUGGAGGGGCAGAUUUGAUGUUCCCUGGUAUAAAUAUACCUGCUGAAGGCCUACCUUCUUUUUCAUCUGGGGAACCAUGGGCAGUAAAAGUACCUGGCAAUCCAGCACCAAUUGCAGUUGGAUCUACUACUAUGAGCAGCACUGACGCCGUAAAAGCUGGAUUUCGUGGAAAGGCCUUAAGGAUAACUCAUUAUUACCGGGACUUACUUUGGGAGUCAGUUGAGGGCCAUUAUGUGCCAAAUGCAGGUUUCUUGGAAGAUGCUGUCUUCGAGGAUCCUGCUUCCACAUUAUCAGUUCAUAGUUCUGAUGAGUGUCAAGCUACUAGAGACGCUUCAUAUGAGCAGCAGAAUGAGGUUGAGAGCAAAGAAAUUUUGGAAUCUGCUGAUAUGAAUGAUGUUAUAUCCGAACCUCAUCCCUCUUUAAUUGCGGAACUUGAUUGUAAAAAUGAUAUUGUAGAACAAGUCACUGCAGAUGCAAGUAAUUUGAAUGUAACAGAUAAUGUUGCAGCUGAUGAAUCAACUACUGAGGAGCAGUACACAUUGUCAACUGCAGACGUGGAUGCUUAUUUGGAUAAAUGCCUGUUGCAAGCCCUGCAUACAACUGUUAAGGACAAAGAUCUUCCAAUGCCUGGUAGCACUUUAUGGUCCAAUCAUGUUUUACCUUGUAGGCCAUCUGGUAUCAUGCUAGAUAUCAAGAAGUCAUCCCACAAGAAAUUGUCAAAGUGGUUACAAUCUAAAUCAUCUGCAGCAUUGAUUUCAGUAAAGGAAGACAAAUAUAAAAAGGAGACUGUAUUAGUUUCCGUUAACCGCAGUCACCCAGAUUUCUUAUCCUUCAAGCCAGAGAAGAGGCAGGAACAAAAAAUUGAUCAGGCUGCUGACCAAGCUACUACCAGUGAAAGUCGGCUAAAAAAAAUGCUUGAAGUGGUGGACAUCUACAAACCAAGUGUGCAUGUCAAUCCCAUUUUUGCUUCUGUUGGUGCUGAUACAGGGAAACUUUACAGUGCUUCAGAAGCUUCUGAUAUAGUAUUCAAGUAUAUUGAGAAAGAAAAUCUAGUCAAGCCAACAAAUAAGGCCUUCGUAGUUUUAGAUCCAACACUAUGUGAUGCUUUGUUCAAGGGAACAAUUAAGAAAGGAUCAACAUACCCUACAGAGAUUCAUAAGAAAGAUCUAGGAUUGACAUUUGUAAGCCGGAUGCAAGCCCAUUAUGUUGUGACCAGGGGAAGUGAGUCUGUUGUUCGUAAAGGUUCAUUAAAGACAAUUCAAAUUGUAACAGAAAGGCGUCAAGGUAACAAGAAGGUAACAAAAGUCUCAGGUGUAGAAACAUUCUUGAUGGAUGCUGAAGCAUUGGCGUCAGAGCUGCAGAAAAAAUUUGCUUGCAGUACGUCAGUGCAAGAGCUACCAGGCAAGAAAGGGCAUGAGGUUCUCAUUCAAGGUGGUGUGAUUGAUGAUGUAGCACGGCAUCUGGUUGAACAGUAUGGGGUUCCAAAGAGAUAUAUUGAGGUUCUUGAUAAAACCAAGAAAUGAGAAGUGUACUUAAUGAGCACCUUAGUUGGCAAUGAAUACUGCAAAAGCACCCAUUGGUCUCCUCCUAUCCUAAGCAUAUGCUCAUUUAUGCAUAAUGAGUAACUAAAGGUGGGGUAUUCACAAGGUUUGAAGGGUACAACUGCUUAACUACAACUUACAACCUCAUGAGCCAAAUUGGUGCAUUGAAGUUUUGAUCAAUCCCAGAAAUAAAUGCUCAAGGAAGCUCAGAAUUGAGGUUAUAAGUGCAUAAAGCUUUUUUGCAAAAAUGUCCCAACAGUUUAAGUUUGAGAAAAUGGUCUGUUUGAGCUGACUGCGGAACUUGUACAUCUAUUUAUUAUGGUCCUUUUGUUUCACCAAACCGAUGUAAAUUUUCAUUCUAAAUGCACUGGUUUCCUAUAA